rnacentral:rRNA from 1 species
CGUUUUGUGGGGUGCUCGAGUGGCGAACGGGUGAGUAACACGUGAGUAACCUGCCCUUGACUUUGGGAUAACUUCAGGAAACUGGGGCUAAUACCGGAUAGGAGCUCCUGCUGCGUGGUGGGGGUUGGAAAGUUUCGGCGGUUGGGGAUGGACUCGCGGCUUAUCAGCUUGUUGGUGGGGUAGUGGCUUACCAAGGCUUUGACGGGUAGCCGGCCUGAGAGGGUGACCGGCCACAUUGGGACUGAGAUACGGCCCAG